rnacentral:tRNA from 1 species
GGAGAGGUGGCCGAGUUGGCUUAAGGCGUACGCCUGCUAAGCGUAUGUGGGUUAACGCUCACCGCGGGUUCGAAUCCCGCCCUCUCCGCCA